GGUAGUGUGGCCGAGUGGUCUAAGGCGCUGGAUUUAACCUCCAGUCUCUAUCGAGGCGUGGGUUUGAAUCCCACCACUACCG